UGGGGAAUUUUGCACAAUGGGGGGAACCUUGAUGCAGCGACGCCGCGUGAGGGAUGGAGGCCUUCGGGUUGUGAACCUCUUUCGCUCGUGUGCAAGCCGCUAUUUGGGAAGUGGUGAGUGUAGCGGGUAAAGAAGCGCCGGCUAACUACGUGCCAGCAGCCGCGGUAAUACGUAGGGCGCGAGCGUUGUCCGGAUUUAUUGGGCGUAAAGGGCUUGUAGGCGGUUUGUCGCGCCUGUCGUGUAAUCCUCUGGCUUAACUGGGGGUGUGCGGUGGGUACGGGCGAGCUUGAGUGCGGUAGGAGAGAUUGGAAUUCCUGGUGUAGCGGUGGAAUGCACAGAUAUCAGGAGGAACACCGGUGGCGAAGGCGGGUCUCUGGGCCGUUACUGACGCUGAGGAGCGAAAGCGUGGGGAGCGAACAGG
rnacentral:rRNA from 1 species